CCUACGGGUGGCAGCAGUGAGGAAUAUUGGUCAAUGGGCGAGAGCCUGAACCAGCCAAGUCGCGUGAAGGAUGACUGUCUUAUGGAUUGUAAACUUCUUUUGUAGGGGAAUAAAGAACGGUACGUGUACCGUAGUGAAUGUACCCUACGAAUAAGCAUCGGCUAACUCCGUGCCAGCAGCCGCGGUAAUACGGAGGAUGCGAGCGUUAUCCGGAUUUAUUGGGUUUAAAGGGUGCGUAGGCGGCCUGUUAAGUCAGCGGUGAAAUCUAGGAGCUUAACUCCUAAAUUGCCAUUGAUACUGGCGGGCUUGAGUGUAGAUGAGGUAGGCGGAAUGCGUGGUGUAGCGGUGGAAUGCAUAGAUAUCACGCAGAACUCCGAUUGCGAAGGCAGCUUACUAAGGUACAACUGACGCUGAAGCACGAAAGCGUGGGUAUCAAACAGGAUUAGAUACCCCAGUAGUC
rnacentral:rRNA from 1 species